UUACGGCCACAUCAUAUUGAAACACCUGUUCGCGUACGAUCCCUGAAGUUAAGCAACACCGUGCCUGGUCCGUACCUAGAAGGGUGACCGCUUAGGAAUAUCAGGUGCUGUAAG